rnacentral:lncRNA from 1 species
CCAGCCUCGCGAAGCUUCAGACCCGAAACGACACUGUUUUUAGGCUUUACUUAAAAACUUUCUUUUUCUGGCUACAGCCGACGGGGAGAGAAGGGUCCGAGAUUUGUUAUGGAUGGAAGAAAAGAGAGCUAAUGAGAGAAAAAGAGAGGGACAUUUGGCUCAAGAGAAAGUUGUGACAUAACAUGAUAGAGAGGGUGUUCCAUGCAGCUGAAGGAGAAGCCAUAGAUAAAAAAGAGGAAAGUUGGCGAUUCAGAAAUAAAGCAUGGAAGAGGAAUGAGUUACUGAAGAAGAGAACAUGGAUUAUGGCAUUGACUCGAGGAAGAAAAAAAGUAGAUG